GUUGCGGCGCGUCACUGGUGAACCAAAUGUCCUAUCCCUCGCUAUCUUAACGUCACGACCGGCCAGUGCGAGAACUUUGACAGACGGAAUCAUCAAAACAACACAAUAGGUCAAUUAGUCAGCAGAAUUUCGGUGAUUUAGCUAGUGAAGUGAUAAAAAUAUUCCCAACCCACGUUCAGUUCGCACAGUUGCAGUAACCCCAAGAGUUAAAUUUGUAGAAUAAUUAAGUUAGACUUUAAUUUCCGUAACAGCCACGCAGUAAGUGGAAACCUAAGGAGGGAACAGAAGAAUCAAGAAAAACCUAAAAUCAGCAAUCCACAGUACAGUAAGAACCUGAAAUACUAGAAAACACUGAAAAUCCUUUUAGCUGUGCAGUAAUCAACUAAAAGAACGGUGUUUGUUCCGACUUCGGGAACAUUCUAAAAGGAUUUUCAUCCUAAGUUGGAUGAUUGAUUGCUACCCUUGGAAGUUCCUCCAACCGAUAUCCUGUAACCGGG